AAAACAUCGACAACGCAUCGAAAUCAGCAGAGAGUAGUGGUGCAUUGCAGAUAAUCAGUACCAUCCAUGGAAAUUAUUGCACAGGGCACACGUCUACACAAAGGAGGAAAAGACACAAGGUUUUGCAGAUCAAAUAAGAAGGAUGUUGGGGAGUCAUUUUUGACAUGAAGUUUCCUGAAGCCUGCGAUGGUCAUGUCGCUGUUACGAACAUCGUCCUUUGGGGAUAUUUACCCACAAGAAACAUCUGCGAAGUACAUGCGCUUCGUGAAAGACUUGAAACUUAAGUUAUCUUAAGUAUGGAAGUAUGCUUCAAUUUGCUACACGACAGUUUGUAAUGUUUCAUGAAGAACUCUGACUCAUAAGUGACUUGAAUAUCCAUGAUCAUCCCAAACAAAUAUAAUAAAGAAUUCAU